AGGUUUUCACAGUGGCAGUAUCAUAGCCAAUGAGGUUUAGCCGAGGCGUGAUUAUUGCUAAUUGAAACAAAUGAAAUUCUGCCUAAUCAAGUUGAUCUUUGAUCCCAUCCAAAGGAG
rnacentral:snRNA from 1 species